rnacentral:tRNA from 1 species
UUAAUAUUAUAUUAAUUUCAAAUAAUGUAUUUUAAAUGUAUAUAUAUUAAUAUAUGUAUUAAAGAACUAUAUUACAUUGAUAUUAAUAAAAAAAAUCUAAAACAUCUAUAAUAUUUUUAUUUAAUUUCAAAAAUAAAAUAAAUAUUUUUAAAUAUAAAAAAAUUAAUAUCAAUUAUAGAAAAGAAUCUAAAUAUUAAA